UACGAAGGGUGCAAGCGUUACUCGGAAUCACUGGGCGUAAAGCGUGCGUAGGUGGUGCGUUAAGUCUGUCGUGAAAGCCCCGGGCUCAACCUGGGAAUGGCGAUGGAUACUGGCGCGCUAGAGUGCGGUAGAGGAGAGUGGAAUUCCCGGUGUAGCAGUGAAAUGCGUAGAGAUCGGGAGGAACAUCAGUUGCGAAGGCGGCUCUCUGGACCAGCACUGACACUGAGGCGCGAGAGCGUGGGGAGCAAACUGG
rnacentral:rRNA from 1 species